rnacentral:rRNA from 1 species
UACGAAGGGGGCUAGCGUUGCUCGGAAUUACUGGGCGUAAAGGGCGCGUAGGCGGUCCGCUAAGUUCGGCGUGAAAUCCCCUGGCUCAACUGGGGAACGGCGCUGAUACUGGUGGACUCGAGUACCGGAGAGGAGAGUGGAAUUCCUGGUGUAGCGGUGAAAUGCGUAGAGAUGCGGCGGAACACCGAUGGCGAAGGCAGCCCCCUGGGCUGAGAUUGACGCUCAGGCACGAAAGCGUGGGGAGCAAACAGG